UACGUAGGGGCCAGCGUUAUCCGGAAUUACUGGGCGUAAAGGGUGCGUAGGUGGUUUCUUAAGUCAGAGGUGAAAGGCUACGGCUCAACCGUAGUAAGCCUUUGAAACUGGGAAACUUGAGUGCAGGAGAGGAGAGUGGAAUUCCUAGUGUAGCGGUGAAAUGCGUAGAUAUUAGGAGGAACACCAGUUGCGAAGGCGGCUCUCUGGACUGUAACUGACACUGAGGCACGAAAGCGUGGGGAGCAAACAGGAUUAGAUACCCGUGUAGUCCCUGAGCGGG
rnacentral:rRNA from 1 species